CAGGCCUAACACAUGCAAGUCGAGCGGUAAGGCCUUUCGGGGUACACGAGCGGCGAACGGGUGAGUAACACGUGGGUGAUCUGCCCUGCACUCUGGGAUAAGCUUGGGAAACUGGGUCUAAUACCGGAUAUGACCACAUGCCGCAUGGUGUGUGGUGGAAAGAUUUAUCGGUGCAGGAUGGGCCCGCGGCCUAUCAGCUUGUUGGUGGGGUAAUGGCCUACCAAGGCGACGACGGGUAGCCGACCUGAGAGGGUGACCGGCCACACUGGGACUGAGACACGGCCCAGACUCUACGGGAGGCAGCAGUGGGGAAUAUUGCACAAUGGGCGAAAGCCUGCAUGCAGCGACGCCGCGUGAGGGAUGACGGCUUCGGGUUGUAAACCUCUUUCAUAGGGAAGAACGAAAGUGACGGUACCUGCAGAAGAAGCGCCGGCUAACUACGUGCCAGCAGCCG
rnacentral:rRNA from 1 species